rnacentral:rRNA from 1 species
UACGGAGGGUGCAAGCGUUAUCCGGAAUCACUGGGUUUAAAGGGUGCGUAGGCGGGCAGGUAAGUCAGUGGUGAAAUCUCCGAGCUUAACUUGGAAACUGCCGUUGAUACUAUCUGUCUUGAAUAUUGUGGAGGUGAGCGGAAUAUGUCAUGUAGCGGUGAAAUGCGUAGAUAUGACAUAGAACACCAAUUGCGAAGGCAGCUCGCUACACAUAUAUUGACUCUGAGGCACGAAAGCGUGGGGAUCAAACAGG